rnacentral:tRNA from 1 species
CAGCUCAGCGGUUGAACACUUGCUUCACAAGCGAUAGGUCGGUGGUUCAAACCCACUAGGA